CAGCCGCCGCGGUAAAACGAAGGGGGCUAGCGUUGUUCGGAAUUACUGGGCGUAAAGCGCACGUAGGCGGAUUGUUAAGUUAGGGGUGAAAUCCCAGGGCUCAACCCUGGAACUGCCUUUAAUACUGGCAAUCUCGAGUCCGAGAGAGGUGAGUGGAAUUCCGAGUGUAGAGGUGAAAUUCGUAGAUAUUCGGAGGAACACCAGUGGCGAAGGCGGCUCACUGGCUCGGUACUGACGCUGAGGUGCGAAAGCGUGGGGAGCAAACAGGAUUAGAUACCCGGGUAGUCCCUGUCUCUUAUAC
rnacentral:rRNA from 1 species